AGUUGAUCAGUACAGGGGACACGUGUUCAGAUCUGCUAGCUUUUACUGUACUACUGGGAAACUUGAGACAGGGAGACAUUAUCUAGGUGAGAGGGGAUGAGGGCUUGAACAAAGCCUGUCAAUGCGAGUGGAGAGCAGGAGUCAGACGUGAGAGAUGUUAUAAAGAGAGAAACCACAGAAUUUGUCAACUAAUUAGGAAAGUGAGAUAAAGGAGAGGGAAGAGUCUAGGAUGAUGCUGAGGUCACACAAACAUAUGGUGGUGCCUUUGACAGAAAUAGAUCUAAGUUUGGAAGAAGUAACUUGAUGGCUAAGGCACAAAGAAGAACAUUUCCAUAUAUAAAGAUGGACAGGGAAGGAAGAUUACAUAUAAAACCACAAAUCUACCCUGUAUGGUUUUUUAAAUGUUGCUGUUCAGUCAUUCUGUUGUGUCAGACUCUACAUGACCUCAUGGACUUUGUCCAUGGGAUUUUCUUGGCAAAGAUACUGGAGAGAUUUGCCAUUUCUUUCUCCAGUGUGUUCCAGUUCAACUGAUAAGGAACUGAAGCAAAUAAUGGCACUUGGCACAGUACCUGGCCCAACUUGUUGAUUGAUUGAAGAUUCCAGGUACCACUUGGAGGCUGUACCAGGGACAUGUUUGAAGCUGUGAUUUCAUUCCUAAAGGAAACUCCCUCUCCCAGUGCAAGUCAGCCCCUUCUCUACAAUUUAAAAUAUUGGAGCAUUGCCUAGAGUCAGGAUGUCAAACUCAAAUAGAAAUGUUUAUUUUUCACUCAUGUUUGACUCUUUGUGACUCCAAUGGUCCUAUGAUUCAUGAGAUGUUCUUAGGAAAGAUACUGGAAUGGUUUGCCAUUUCCUUCUCCAGCUCAUCUUACAGAUAAGGAAAUUAAGGCAAACAGGGUUAACUGACUUGCCCAGGAUCACACAGCUAGUCAGUAUCUGAGGCUUCAUUUCUCAUUCCUAUGUCCUUUGAGGUCAGUCACUCUUAGACAGAAGAGUCCAUUGAUCAAUGGAUUGGUCAAGCACUUCAAAAUAAUGAGGUUAAAUACUUCUGAAGGGAAGCCUUGUGAUCUUGUGGUCACCUACCCCUUUAAUGUGGAAGAUCUUUUCCUUUUAAGAUUAGUCAUUGCGUCAGCCUUUAUGUUUUUAAACAAAGCAGACUCCUAUAUUAAAUGUUUCCUAUACUCAAGCUAUCAAUAAACACUGAAGAAAAUACCAAAUAUUACUUUUAGCCAUCUGUGAGUCCUAGUCAGAGGACCAAGGUUCUGUAGAAUUUUCUCUGAUCAUAUGAGAGCAAUCAUACUCACAUCUAAUCCGAACUAUCGCCCAAUGCUAAGAAGAAGGUUAAGGAAAAAUCCCCAUUUCCUUGUCUAAGGGUUGGUCUCAACUCCCUUGCAAACUGGGUCCUCUCUCUUUCAGGAUCACCAACAGUUCUGUGGAGCUGAAGCUGGCUUAGUCUCAGACCAGGAAGGCAAGCAAGCUUUAAAGGAAGUGUUUGUAAAUAGUCUAAAGCUUAUGCAACAUACAAGGUAGUUAAUUGUGCCCAAAGGUAUAAUGAACUGGAGGAAUUCCAUGGAACAACCUCCAGGAAUUGAUGCAGCGUGAGAGGAGCAGAACCAGGAGAACAUUGUACACAGAGACAUACACUGUGGUACAGUUGAAUGUAAUGGACUUCUCUCCUAGCAGCAAUGCAAUGAUCCAGGAUAGUUCUGAGGGACUUAUGAGAAAGAACACUAUAUACAUUCAGAGAAAUAACUGUGGGAAUAGAAACACAGAAGAACAACAACUGCUUGAUCACAUGGUUCAAUGGGGAUAUAGUUGGGGAUAUAGACUAUAAACGAUCACCCUAGUGCAACUAUCAAUAAUAUGGAAAUAGGUCUUGAUCAAUGACACAUGUAAAACCCAGUGGAAUUGCAUGUCAGCUACAGGAGAGGGGGAGGGGAGGGGAGGGAAAGAACACAAUUCUUGUAACCUAGGGAAAAUAUUCUGAAUUAACUAAUUAAGUAAAAAUUUCCCCCAAAAAACCAACAACAAACAAAACAAAAACCAUACAAGGUAGUUACAAACAGGGAUGAAUAGGGACACAUAUUUUGUACUGUGUCUGACAGACUUGGUCUUUUGUGAACAUAAUAAUAGCAAAUCAGCAAGAAUGGACAAUUCUAUUCUGAAAAAGAAACUUUCUCUAAGGGCUUCAAAGGUCUCUCACCUCUAUUAAUUGACCUUAGGAAUCUUUUGAAGAGGAGAGGUCCUGAAUCACAUAGGCUUUCUGUUAGGAGUUAGAAUCUUAAUCUUGGUAUGAUUUAACUUGAAAAAAAGAUAUUAGUUCUGUACUCUCAUUUUAGGCUCAAGGCAGUCAAAAACAAAAUUUUUAACACUUACUUUCCAUCUUAUAAUCAAUAUUGUACACUUGUUCCAAGGCAAGAGUGGUAAGGACUAGGCAAUGGGGAUUAAGGGACUCACCCAAGGUUAUAUAGCUAGGAAGUAUCUGAGGUCAGAUUUGAACCCAGGAUCUCCCAUCUUUAGGCCUGCCUCUCAAUCCACUGAGCCACCUAGCUGCUCUCAACAAUUAAAAAAACAAACAAACAACUUAUACCUUCUGUCUUAGUAUCGGUUCUAAGAAGAGUGGCAAGGGUUAGUCAAUUAGGGUUAAAUGACUAGCCUAGGGUCAUACAACUAGGAAGUGUCUGAGACCACAUUUGAACCCAGGUUCUCUUGUAUACAAGCUUGGCACUCCAUCCACUGUGCUGCCUACUGUCCUAACAAUUUUUAUUAAUUUAACAUUAUUGUAAAUAUUAGUUCUGGGCCUGGAAAGUUAUCCCUCCUCAUCUCUCCCUCCUGGACUCCCUGAUUUCCCUCAAUAUCCUGCUGAAAUGCUACCUUUUAUAGGACGUCUUUUCCAAUCCCUUUUCAUUAUAAUCUAUUCCUUUUCAUUAUACCAUGAAAUCCUUUGAUCAGGGAUGGUCUUUUGUCUUUCUUUGUAUCUCCAUCUUUAGCACAAUGCCCACUAAGUAGUUGGUGCUAAAAAAAAAUGAUCAUUUGACUGACUGACUGACAUCUGAGCACUUCUUGGUUAGAGAGAAAUGUCUAUAUUGACAAGAUGGUGGUUCAGUGGAUUGAGAGGCAGGCCUAAAGAUGAAAGAUCCUGGGUUCAAAUCUGGUCUCAGAUACUUCCUAGCUGUGUAAUCCUAGGCGAGCCCCUUAACCCCCAAUUGCCUAGCCCUUACCACUCUUGCCUUGGAACAAGUCCACAGCUAACUCCUCCUCUACCUUCAGAAAUUUCUCUAAGACAAAGACAAUUUGGUUAACAUUUUUUUUUGCAAUCUUAAAGGAGGAAAAGGGUACAAUACGGUUUAAAAAAUUGUUCUGCUCCAAGAAAGAAGUUUAACUUUUUUUGGUCAAGGUUCCCUUUAGCAGUUUGGUGAAGCUGAUGGACCCUCUCUCACAAGAAUAUUUUUAAGUGUAUAAAAUUAAACAUUUAGGAUUAUAAAGGAAACAAGUUAUGUGGAAAUCGAGUUAUCCAAAAAUUUCUUAAUCCCACAAUAAGAUCCCAGAUCCCAGAUGUAGAGUCUUUGGUUUAAUAGAACAAUAUUCUUAAUGUUCUAAACUACUCAGUUCCUUUGGGAGACCAUUCCUUUUAAGAGUUUGUAGGGACGUUCCUUCUCAGAACAGUAUCCUAAUCCAUUUGGAAUGGGAAAAACAAGUGAGCACUGCCUAUCAGUGGGAUUAGAAUGCCAGUUCCUUCAAGGAAUGAGUAAAAUAGAAAUCUUAUACAGUUAAGAUAUACUUCUGGUUCUGGAUGUGGUUAGUAAUAUCCUUUAUUCAUUUUCCCAGGCAAGAGUGGCAAGUGAGGUGGAGACAAAAAAUCAAGCAAUUCCCCAAUUAAUAAAUGGACAAGGGACAUGAAUAGGUAGUUUUCAAAUAAAGAAAUCAAAACUGUCAAUAAGCACAUGAAAAAGUGUUCUAAAAUUCUCAUAAAUAGAGAAAUUCAAAUCAAAACAACUAUGAGGUACCACCUCGUACCUAGUAGAUUGGCCAAUAUGACAGCAAAGGAAAGUGAUACAUGUUGGAGGGAAUGUGUCAAAAUUGGGACACUAAUGCAUUGCUGGUGGAGUUGUGAAUUGAUCCAACCAUUCUGGAAGGCAAUUUGGAAUUAUGCCCAAAAGGCUUUAAAAGACUGCCUGCCCUUUGAUACAGCCAUACCACUGCUGGGUUUUUAACCCAAAGAAAUAAUAGGGGAAAAUACAUGUACAAAAAUAUUCCUGGCUGCACUCUUCGUAGUGGCAAAAAAAUUGGAAAAUCAGGGAGUGCCCAUCAACUGGGGAAUGGCUGAACAAAUUGGGGUAUCUGAUGGUGAUGAAAUACUAUUGUGCUGAAAGGAAUAAUGAACUGGAAGAAUUCCAUGUGAACUGGAAAGACGUCCAGGAAUUGAUGCAGAGUGAAAGGAGCAGAACCAGGAGAACAUUAUACACAGAGACUGAUACACUGUGGCAAAAUCGAAUGUAAUGGACUUCUCUACUAGCAGCAAUGCAAUGAUCCAGGACAAUUCUGAGGAACUUAUGAGAAAGAACAA